rnacentral:rRNA from 1 species
UACGGAGGGUCCAAGCGUUAUCCGGAUUUAUUGGGUUUAAAGGGUGCGCAGGCGGAACUUUAAGUCAGUGGUGAAAUCUUGCCGCUUAACGGUAAAAUUGCCAUUGAUACUGAAGUUCUUGAAUGUAGUUGAGGUAGGCGGAAUGUGUUGUGUAGCGGUGAAAUGCAUAGAUAUGACACAGAACGCCAAUUGCGAAGGCAGCUUACUAAGCUACUAUUGACGCUGAGGCACGAAAGCGUGGGGAGCGAACAGGAUUAGAUACCCGGGUAGU